AGCCAGUCAUGGUGGUGUACACCUGUCGUCUCAGCUAUUUGGGAGGCUGAGGCGGGAGGUUAAUUUGAGCCCAGGAGUUCAUGGCUGUAAUGAGCUGUGAUGGUACCACUGCACUCCAGCCUUGGUGACAGAGCAAGACCCUACCUCAGAAAAAAAGUUGGGGUGCAGGUGGGGCAUUGGGGAAGGAAUCAGAUACCAAGAGCCCAGGCCCUGCUCCGAAACACAGAAUAUGACUUCAUCACCCAACCCUGUGCCCUCGGGUUAAGUAGCCAUUAGCCACAGCCACAGGUGGCUGUUUAAAUUUAAGUAAAUUAAAAUUAAAUAAAAUGACCAGUUCAGCUGCUCAGUGGCAGGGACCCACUUUUCAAGUGCUCCCGAGUGACAGGCACCUAGUGGCUAAAGCACGGGACAGCGC
rnacentral:lncRNA from 1 species